AGAACUCUGCGGUUUUGUGGAGCUCGAGAGUCCGGGACAAGGUAGACGCAGGAUAUUGACCUUUUUAUUUUUAACUGCAUUUUCAGUUUGGAGGUUGUAAAAUAGGUAUAACAUUUAAGAAAAAAAAUUGAAAGAUAUCUAUUGGAUGCUGAUGAUUAUGAAACAAAGUAGCAAAGAUAAGAAGCCAUUUGCUCAUUCUGCUCCUUUGCCAGCAAUAUUUCACAAAGCCCCUGACUCAUUGACUGUGAGCAGCCUUGUGGAAGAAUGCCUUGAAGACCAUAAGCAGGAUAGGGAAUAGGUUUGCACAUCUCUUGCCUGAAUCACUGAAUUUUUACAAAAGGUAAGUUUGGUGAUCCUAGCCCUUGCCUCUUCCUGUACAUAAGAUAAUGUCUGACAAGAUUAAUGAUUAUGCCUCAAAUUCAUGACCAGAUGUAACUUCAUACCCACACUUUGAUGAGACUUUACUUGUAUUAACCCAUUUUCAUACUGCUAUGAAGAAAUACCCAAGACUGCAUAAUUUCUAAAGAAAAAGGCUUAGUGGACUCACAGUUCCACAUGGCUGGGGAAGCCUCACAAUCAUGGUAGAAGAUGAAGAAGGAGCAAAGGCACAUCUUACAUGGCAGCAGGUGAGAGAGCAUGUGCAGAGGAACUACCCUUUAUAAAACCAUCAGAGGCCAGGUGCAGUGGCUCACACCUGUAAUCCUAGCACUUUGGGAGGCCGAGGCAGGCAGAUCAUCUGAGGUCAGGCAUUCAAGACCAGCCUGGCCAACAUGGCAAAACCCCAUGUUUCAAAAUUAGCUCAGUGUGGGGGCACAUGCCUGUAAUACCAGCUACUAGGGAGGCUGAGGCAGGAGAAUCGCUUGAACCUGGGAGGCAGAGGUUGCAGUGAGCCAAGAUCACGCUACUGUACUCCAGCCUGGGCAACAGAGCCAGACUUUGUCUCAAAAAAUAAAAUGAAAUAAAAUAAAAAUAAAUAAAUAGAUAGAUAAAUAAAACCAUCAGAGCUCGUGAGAACUCACUACCAUGACAACAUGAGGGUAACUGAUCCCAUAAUUAAAUUACUUCCCAUCAGGUCCCUCCCUUGACACUUGGGGAUUAUGGGAGCUACAAUUCAAGAUGAGAUUUGGGUUGGGACACAGCCAAACCAUAUCAUUCCACCCUGGCCCCUCCAAAAUCUCCUGUCCUCACAUUUCAAAAGCAAUCAUGCCUUACCAGCAGUCCCCCAAAGUCUUAACUCAUUUCAGCAUUAACUCAAAAGUCUACAGUCCAAAGUCUCAUCUGAGACAAGGCAAGUCCCUUCUGCCUAUGAGCUUGUAAAAUCAUAAGCAAGUUAAGUUACUUCCUAAAUACAAUGGGGGUACAAGCAUUGGGUAAAUACACCCAUUCCAAAUGGGAGAAAUAGGCCAAAAUGAAGGGACUACAGGGCCCAUGCAAGUCCAAAAUCCAGCAGGGCAGUCAAAUCUUAAAGCUCCAAAAUGAUCUGCUUUGACUCCGUGUCUCACAUCCAGUUCACGUUGAUACAAGAGGUAGGUUGCCAUGGUCUUGGGCAGCUCUGCCCCUGUGGCUUUGCAAGAUACAGCCUCCUUCCCAGCUGCUUUAACAGGCUGGCAUUGAGUGUCUCUGGCUUUCCCAGGCAUAUGCUGCAAGCUGUUGGUGGAUCUACCAUCCUGGGGUCUGGAGGAUGGUGGCCCUCUUCUCACAGCUCCACUAGGCACUGCCCCAGUGGGGACUCUGUGUGGGGGAUCCCACCCCACAUUUCCCUUCUGCAUUGCCCUUCUGCCUUAGCAGAGGUCGUGCAUGAGGGCCCUGCCCCUGCAGCACACCUCUGCCUGAACAUCCGGGUGUUUCCAUACAUCCUCUGAAAUCUAGGCAGGGUUCCCAAACCUCAAUUCUUGACUUCCGUGCACCCACAGUCCCAAUAUCACAUGUGAGCAGCCUGAGACUGCACAAAGCAGCAAGGCCCUGGGCCCAGCCCAUAAACCCAUUUUUCCUCCUUGGCCUCCUGGCUUGUGAUGAGAGGGACUUCCAGGAAGACCUCUUACAUGCCCUGGAGACAUUUUUCCCAUUGUCGUGGUAAUUAACAUGUGGCUUCUUGUUACUUAUGCAAAUUUCUGCAGCAGGCUUGAAUUUCUCCGCAAAAAAUGGGUUUUUCUUUUCUAUCACGUCAUCAGGCUGCAAGUUUUCCUUUUAUGCUCUGCUUCCUCUUGAACGCUUUGCCACUUAGAAAUUUCUUCCCUCAGGUACCCUAAAUCAUCUCUCUAAAGUUCAAAGUUCCACAGAUAACUAGGGCAGGGGCAAAAUGCCACCAGUCUCUUUGCUAAAGCAUAGCAAGAGUGACCUUUAUUCCAUUUCCCAACAAGUUCCUCAUCUCCAUCUGAGACCACCUCAGCCUGGACUUCUUUGUCCGUAUCCCUAUUAGCCUUCUGAUCAAAGCCAUUCAACAAGUCUCUAGGAAGUUCCAAACUUUCCUACAUCUUUCUGUCUUCUGAGCCCUCCAAGUCUCUAGGAAGUUCCAGAGUUUCCCACAUUUUCCUGUCUUCUUCUGAGCCCUCCAAACUGUUCCAACCUCUGCCUGUUACCCUGUUCCAAAGUUGCUUCAACAUUUUCUGUUAACCUUAUAGCAGAGCCCCACUACCUCAGUUCCAAUUUACUGUAUUAGUCCAUUUUCAUACUACUGUGAAGAAAUAGCCAAGACUGGGUAAUUUAUAAAGAAAAAGAGGUUCAGUGGACUCACAGUUCCACAUGGCUGGGGAGGCCUCACAAUCGUGACAGAAGGCAAAGGAGGAGCAAAGACACAUCUUACCUGGCAGCAAGGCAAGAGAGAGAGCAUGUGCGGAGGAACUGCCCUUUAUGAAACCAUCAGAUUUCCUGAGAUUUAUUCACUAUCAUGAGACCAGCAGGGGAAAAACUUGCCCCCAUGAUUAAAUUACUUCCCACCGGGUCCUACCAUUGACACAUGGGGAUUAUGGGAGCUACAAUUCAAGAUGAGAUUUGAGUGGGGACACAGCCAAACCAUGUCAUUAAUGUAAUUUCUGAGCACAUUUGAUGUAACUUCUUAACACAUGCAGAGCAACCACCACCUAUGUUUAAGCUAUGGGGUGAAUCAAUGCUUUGCAGCAAUAUAACAAACUCUUUGAAAGAUUCUCCCAGGUUGCAGUACUCAGUAGGACUUCUGAAUAAAAUUAACUUUAAUUAUUUAAAAGCCUGUUUUUUUUUCUUUAGUUGACAUAACAUACCAGGAUAUUGUAGCUGGAAAUACAUAGGAGGUUCUUGCUCUCACGAACCUUACAUUCCAGUAAGGAAAACAGACAAUAAGAAAAAAGAAAAAUGAAUACAAUAAAUUCUCAUGGUGAUACAAAUAAGGUAAGAUGACAGAAACUGAAGGGAGAGGGAGACACUACUUCAGUGAGGUGGUCAGUGAAAACCUCUCUGCAAAGGUGGUGUGAAAUCUGAGACCUGAAUGACAAGAAAGAACUAGCGAUGCAAACAUCUGCGGGUGGCACAUUUCUAAUAUUUAUUUUUUACUAGUUUUAUUUUGUGUUAAUUUUACGUUUAACUAUCUGGAAUAUAUUUUGGUACAGGAGUCCCCCUUAUCCAAGGGGGAUAUGUAUCAAGCCCCCCAGUGGAUACCUGAAAUCACAGAUAGCGCUGAACCCUAUAUGUACUGUUUUUUCCUACAUAUAUGUAUCUAUGAUAAAGUUUAAUUUAUAAAUUAGGCAUAGUAAGAUAUUUACAAAAAUAAUAAUAAAAUUGAACAGUUAUAACAAUAUACUGUAUAAAUCUUAUGUGAAUGUGAUCUCUCUCUCUCUCAAAAUCUGCCAUACUUACCUAUUGCCAGACCACAGUUGACCAUGGCUAACUGAAAUCAUGGAAAGCAAAACCACAAAUAGGGAGGGCUACUGUAUGUUCUAUAAGAUAAUAUGUGAAUUGUCUAUUGCUACAUAACAAACCACCCAAAACUUUGUGAUGUGUCCAAGCCCAAGGAUGCAAGGUUUCCAAGCUUCCAGAUCCCAAGGAUACCAGGAAACAGGAUUCCCAGGAGGCCAUUGCUAUAAUGAUCUACCACUAUUUUUACCAAAACUGGUAUUUGUAUUAGGCUGUUCUCCCAUUGCUGUAAAGAAAUACCUGAGACUGGCUAAUUUGUAAAGAAAAGAGGUUCCAUAGGCUGUACAGGAAGCAUGAUGCUAGCAUCUUCUCAGCUUCUGGGGAAGCCUCAGGAAACUUACAAUCAUGGUGGAGGGCAAAGUGGGAGUCAGUACGUCACAUGGCCAGAGCAGUGAGAGAGGAGGGAGGUGAUACACACUUUUUAAAUGGCCAGAUGUCAGGAGAACUCACUAUCCUGAGGACAGUACCAAGGGAGAUGCUGCUAAACCAUUCAUGAGUAAUCCACUCAUCCACCACCACGAUCCAAUCACCUCCCACAAGGCCCCACCUCCAAUAUUGGGGAUCACAACCCCACAUGAGAUUUGGGUGGGGACACAGAUUCUGUAUCAGUGUUGUUAUUCAAAAAAUUUUGUACAUAGUCCUUACCUUUCCCAUUUCCUUGUGAUAUUCCUUUAUGAAAUUGUUAGAAGAAAUAGAAUAUUUCAGCUGGGUGCAGCCGGUAAUCCCAGCACUUUGGGAGGCUGAAGCGGGUGGACCAUAUGAGACCAGGAGUUCUGAGAUCAGCCUGGCCAACAUGGCGAAACCCCAUCUCUACUAAAAAUACAAAAAUUAGCUGGGCGUGGUGGUACAUGCCUAAAAUACCAGCUACUUGGGAGGCUGAGGCACGAGAAUUGUUUGAACCUGGGAGACAGAGGUUGCAGUGAGCCAAGAUCGCACCACCGCACUCCAACCUGGGCAACAGAGCGAAACUGUCUCAAAAAAAAGAAAAAGGCGGUAUUUCUAGGUAUUCUGUUCCUUCUACACAACUAUUUUGAGGCCAGUGCCAUGUUAAUUAUUGUUGCUUUUAAUAUGUCCUAAUAUUUAACCAUUAGGGCUAACCAUUUUGCUAUUUCAUUUUUCACAAAAUUAUUGAUUUCACCUGAAAAUUUUCUAACCAAAUUUUACACAAAUUUGUUCAAGUUAAAAGAAAUGCUACUUGGAUUUUUAGUGGGAUUAUACAAAAUCUAUUAAUAAGUUUAAUAGAAACUGACAUCUUUAUAUUUACUCUUCUCAUCUGAGAACAUGGAGAUCUAUUUAUUUGAGAGAUUUUAAAAAAUUAUUUUUGGCCAGGCACAGUGGCUCACGCCUGUAAUCCCAGCACUUUGGGAGGCUGAGGUGGGCAGAUUGCCUGAAGUCAGGAGUUCGAGACCAGACUGGCCAACAUGGUGAAACCCCAUCUCUACUAAAAAUACAAAAAAUUAGCUGGGCGUGGUGGUGUGCACCUGUAGUCCCAGCUACUCAGGAUGCUGAGGCAGGAGAAUUGCUUGAAUCCGGGAGGCGGAGGCUGCAGUAAGCCAAGAUUGCGCCACUGCACUCCAGCCUGGCGACAGAAUGAGACUCCAUCUCAAAAAAAAAAUUAUUUUCAGUAAAACUUUAAGCCAC
rnacentral:lncRNA from 10 species